AGAGUUUGAUCCUGGCUCAGAAUGAACGUUGGCGGCGUGGAUUAGGCAUGCAAGUCGAACGGGCCGCAAGGCCAGUGGCGCAAGGGUGAGUAAGGCGACGGUAACCAACCCCAUGAUUGGGUAUAGCCGCGGGAAACCGCGGGUAAUCCCCAGCGACGCAACGACACCGGCCUCGGUGUUUUGCCAAAGCUUCGGCGUCGUGGGACGGGCUGUCGUGGUAUUAGGUAGUUGGCGGGGUAACGGCCCACCAAGCCGACGAUGCCUACCGGGCGUGCGAGCGUGGCCCGGCACACUGGGACUGAGACACUGCCCAGACUCCUACGGGAGGCUGCAGUCGAGAAUCUUCGGCAAUGGGCGCAAGCCUGACCGAGCGACGCCGCGUGGAGGACGAAGGCCUUCGGGUUGUAAACUCCUGUCGAGGGGGAAGAAGGCCCCGCAAGGGGCUUGACUGAUCCCUGGAGGAAGCACGGGCUAAGUUCGUGCCAGCCGCCGCGGUAAUUC
rnacentral:rRNA from 1 species